GAUCUUUUCACGCUACAUCCCUCUCAGUAGGUGUUUAUUACUCUGUUCACCAGCAGCCCUGCUAUUACUGUGGGGCCAGAAGAACUCUACAUACUCGCUUGACAGCAGUCAUCAUGCUGUAAUAAUUUUCUCCCGCUUCACCUGUGGUCCCUAUGAAUAACAGAGUGGGGAGAGAGGGGAAAGCUGAAGAAGAAGAUGAGUUUGGCUUAGUGUCUGAUGAUCACACUGAAGAGAAUAGAUCAAUGAUUAAAACCUGCACCAGCUUGCAGCAAAUCAGCUGCUUCAACUUCAGUUCUUCACAUUCUGCCAGCCGACUGUUUGGAGCUGCCAUUGCUUGCGGGGAAGCCAGUUCUUACAAAAAAAGCCAGAAGUUAAAAAAAAAACCUGUUUUGUUUUAUUUUAAUCUCAGACCAUUCAAAACUUGGAUUUCCUAAAAGUAGUUUAAAAAAUAGGCAGUACAAUAGAUGAUCAGUGGCAACCCCAUCUUAGGUCUGUAUGUGGCCUGUGGCUGUCCAGUUAUAGGGUUAUUCUGCUGAGGGUUGCUCUAGCUUGCAUGUGUGAGUGCAGUACACAUGAUGACAAUGGCUGCUUUGUUAUAUAAAAAGGUGUUAUCUAAUGAAUUGCUGUCUACGUUAUUUGCUAUUUAAUAAAGAUAUUGCAUAUGUACA
rnacentral:lncRNA from 1 species